rnacentral:rRNA from 1 species
AUUGAACGCUGGCGGAAUGCUUUACACAUGCAAGUCGAGCGGCAGCGCGGGAGGGGUAACCUGACUGGCGGCGAGCGGCGAACGGGUGAGUAAUGCAUCGGAACGUACCCAGUCGUGGGGGAUAACGUGGCGAAAGUCACGCUAAUACCGCAUACGUCCUGAGGGAGAAAGCAGGGGAUCGCAAGACCUUGCGCGAUUGGAGCGGCCGAUGUCUGAUUAGCUAGUUGGUGGGGUGAAGGCCUACCAAGGCGACGAUCAGUAGCUGGUCUGAGAGGACGAUCAGCCACACUGGGACUGAGACACGGCCCAGACUCCUACGGGAGGCAGCAGUGGGGAAUAUUGGACAAUGGGCGCAAGCCUGAUCCAGCAAUGCCGCGUGUGUGAAGAAGGCCUGCGGGUUGUGAAGCACUUUCAGUGGGGAAGAACGGAUACGGGCCAAUACCCGCACUCACUGACGUUACCCACAGAAGAAG